rnacentral:rRNA from 1 species
UAGAGUUUGAUCCUGGCUCAGGAUGAACGCUAGCGGCAGGCUUAAUACAUGCAAGUACGAGGGGUAAAUAAGUAGCAAUAUUAUGAGACCGGCAAACGGGUGCGGAACACGUACGCAACUUUCCUUAGAGCGGGGAAUAGCCCAGAGAAAUUUGGAUUAAUACCCCAUAGUAUAAUGAAGAAGCCUUUCUUUAUUAUUAAAGAUUUAUCACUCUAAGAUGGGCGUGCGGCUGAUUAGGUAGUUGGCGGGGUAACGGCCCACCAAGCCUACGAUCAGUAGCUGAUGUGAGAGCAUGAUCAGCCACACGGGCACUGAGACACGGGCCCGACUCCUACGGGAGGCAGCAGUAAGGAAUAUUGGUCAAUGGACGAAAGUCUGAACCAGCCAUGCCGCGUGGAGGAUGAAGGUCCUCUGGAUUGUAAACUUCUUUUAUUUGGGAAGAAAUGUGAGAAUUCUUUUUCACUUGACGGUACCAGAUGAAUAAGCACCGGCUAACUCCGUG